AGAGUUUGAUCCUGGCUCAGGAUGAACGCUGGCGGCGUGCUUAACACAUGCAAGUCGAACGAAGCACUUUAUUUGAUUUCCCUCGGGACUGAUUAUUUUGUGACUGAGUGGCGGACGGGUGAGUAACGCGUGGGUAACCUGCCUUGUACAGGGGGAUAACAGUUGGAAACGGCUGCUAAUACCGCGUAAGCGCACAGCAUCGCAUGAUGCAGUGUGAAAAACUCCGGUGGUAUAAGAUGGACCCGCGUUGGAUUAGCUAGUUGGUGAGGUAACGGCCCACCAAGGCGACGAUCCAUAGCCGACCUGAGAGGGUGACCGGCCACAUUGGGACUGAGACACGGCCCAAACUCCUACGGGAGGCAGCAGUGGGGAAUAUUGCACAAUGGGCGAAAGCCUGAUGCAGCGACGCCGCGUGAGCGAAGAAGUAUUUCGGUAUGUAAAGCUCUAUCAGCAGGGAAGAUAAUGACGGUACCUGACUAAGAAGCACCGGCUAAAUACGUGCCAGCAGCCGCGGUAAUACGUAUGGUGCAAGCGCUAUCCGGAUUUACUGGGUGUAAAGGGAGCGCAGGCGGUGCGGCAAGUCUGAUGUGAAAGCCCGGGGCUCAACCCCGGUACUGCAUUGGAAACUGUCGUACUAGAGUGUCGGAGGGGUAAGCGGAAUUCCUAGUGUAGCGGUGAAAUGCGUAGAUAUUAGGAGGAACACCAGUGGCGAAGGCGGCUUACUGGACGAUAACUGACGCUGAGGCUCGAAAGCGUGGGGAGCAAACAGGAUUAGAUACCCUGGUAGUCCACGCUGUAAACGAUGAAUACUAGGUGUGCGGGGACUGACCCCCUGCGUGCCGCAGCUAACGCAAUAAGUAUUCCACCUGGGGAGUACGAUCGCAAGGUUGAAACUCAAAGGAAUUGACGGGGGCCCGCACAAGCGGUGGAUUACGUGGUUUAAUUCGAAGCAACGCGAAGAACCUUACCAGGGCUUGACAUCCUACUAACGAAGUAGAGAUACAUCAGGUGCCCUUCGGGGAAAGUAGAGACAGGUGGUGCAUGGUUGUCGUCAGCUCGUGUCGUGAGAUGUUGGGUUAAGUCCCGCAACUAGCGCAACCCCUAUUGUUAGUUGCUACGCAAGAGCACUCUAGCGAGACUGCCGUUGACAAAACGGAGGAAGGUGGGGACGACGUCAAAUCAUCAUGCCCCUUAUGUCCUGGGCUACGCACGUAAUACAAUGGCGGUCAACAGAGGGAUGCAAAGCCGUAAGGUGGAGCGAACCCCUAAAAGCCGUCCCAGUUCAGAUUGUGGGCUGCAACCCGCCCACAUGAAGUCGGAAUCGCUAGUAAUCGCGGAUCAGCAUGCCGCGGUGAAUACGUUCCCGGGCCUUGUACACACCGCCCGUCACACCAUGAGAGUCGGGAACACCCGAAGUCCGUAGCCUAACCGAAAGGAGGGCGCGGCCGAAGGUGGGUUCGAUAAUUGGGGUGAAGUCGUAACAAGGUA
rnacentral:rRNA from 1 species